rnacentral:rRNA from 1 species
CAUAUCCAAAAAGCGGAGGAAAAGAAACCAACAGGGAUUGCCUUAGUAACGGCGAGUGAAGCGGCAAAAGCUCAAAUUUGAAAUCUGGCACCUUCGGUGUCCGAGUUGUAAUUUGAAGAAGGUAACUUUGGAGUUGGCUCUUGUCUAUGUUCCUUGGAACAGGACGUCACAGAGGGUGAGAAUCCCGUGCGAUGAGAUGCCCAAUUCUAUGUAAAGUGCUUUCGAAGAGUCGAGUUGUUUGGGAAUGCAGCUCUAAGUGGGUGGUAAAUUCCAUCUAAAGCUAAAUAUUGGCGAGAGACCGAUAGCGAACAAGUACAGUGAUGGAAAGAUGAAAAGAACUUUGAAAAGAGAGUGAAAAAGUACGUGAAAUUGUUGAAAGGGAAGGGCUUGAGAUCAGACUUGGUAUUUUGCGAUCCUUUCCUUCUUGGUUGGGUUCCUCGCAGCUUACUGGGCCAGCAUCGGUUUGGAUGGUAGGAUAAUGACUAAGGAAUGUGGCUCUACUUCGGUGGAGUGUUAUAGCCUUGGUUGAUACUGCCUGUCUAGACCGAGGACUGCGUCUUUUGACUAGGAUGUUGGCAUAAUGAUCUUAAGCCACCCGUCU